rnacentral:rRNA from 1 species
AGAGUUUGAUCCUGGCUCAGAUUGAACGCUGGCGGAAUGCUUUACACAUGCAAGUCGAACGGCAGCACGGGAGCUUGCUCCUGGUGGCGAGUGGCGAACGGGUGAGUAAUAUAUCGGAACGUACCCAGUCGUGGGGGAUAACUCUCCGAAAGGAGAGCUAAUACCGCAUACGUCCUGAGGGGGAAAGCGGGGGAUCGCAAGACCUCGCGCGAUUGGAGCGGCCGAUAUCGGAUUAGCUAGUUGGUGAGGUAAAGGCUCACCAAGGCGACGAUCCGUAGCGGGUCUGAGAGGACGGCCCGCCACACUGGAACUGAGACACGGUCCAGACUCCUACGGGAGGCAGCAGUGGGGAAUUUUGGACAAUGGGGGCAACCCUGAUCCAGCCAUUCCGCGUGAGUGAAGAAGGCCUUCGGGUUGUAAAGCUCUUUCAGCUGGAGCGAAACGGUACGCUCUAACAUAGCGUGCUAAUGACGGUACCAGCAGAAGAAGCACCGGCUAACUACGUGCCAGCAGCCGCGGUAAUACGUAGGGUGCGAGCGUUAAUCGGAAUUACUGGGCGUAAAGCGUGCGCAGGCGGAUUGUUAAGCAAGACGUGAAAUCCCCGGGCUUAACCUGGGAAUGGCGUUUUGAACUGGCAGUCUAGAGUGCGUCAGAGGGGGGUGGAAUUCCACGUGUAGCAGUGAAAUGCGUAGAGAUGUGGAGGAACACCGAUGGCGAAGGCAGCCCCCUGGGAUGACACUGACGCUCAUGUACGAAAGCGUGGGUAGCAAACAGGAUUAGAUACCCUGGUAGUCCACGCCCUAAACGAUGUCAACUGGUUGUUGGGGGAGUGAAAUCCCUUAGUAACGAAGCUAACGCGUGAAGUUGACCGCCUGGGGAGUACGGUCGCAAGAUU